rnacentral:rRNA from 1 species
UAGUCCACGCCCUAAACGAUGUUUACUCGAUGUUUGUCACUAGAUGAGCAUCCAAGGGAAACCGUUAAGUAAACCACCUGGGGAGUACGUUCGCAAGAAUGAAACUCAAAGGAAUUGACGGGGGCCCGCACACGCGGUGGAGCAUGUGGUUUAAUUCGAUGAUACGCGAGGAACCUUACCAGGGCUUAAAUGUAGAUUGCAUUAGGCAGAGAUGCUUAUUUCUUCGGACUAUCUACAAGGUGCUGCAUGGUUGUCGUCAGCUCGUGCCGUGAGGUGUCAGGUUAAGUCCUAUAACGAGCGCAACCCCUACCGUUAGUUGCUAGCAGGUCAUGCUGAGGACUCUAACGGGACUGCCGGUGCAAACCGUGAGGAAGGUGGGGACGACGUCAAAUCAUCACGGCCCUUACGUCCUGGGGCCACACACGUGCUACAAUGGGCCGGUACAGAGGGGAAGCCACCACGUAAGU